UGACGUCACAACAGUGAAGCUACUGCGCCGCCAUCUUGGUAUUCCCUAACAUUCUGUACUCCUAUGUGUCUCAAUGGGAAAUCGUCUGUUUUGCAGCAUUACGUUCAGCGGCGCACGUGUUUCAAUAGAAACAAGUUUAAGAAACUGAGUGCAGGCCUGAAUACGGUCCAGCUCACGGGCAUCAUUUAUAAAGUGAUCAAUUGGAAUAGACGAGGAGCAGGGCAGGACUGGUAAUCUGGACUACCGGACAUUUUUCCGGUGGACUGACAAACUUUGGGGCCGAUCAGGGUGGACUGGCCAUCGGGAGAACCGAGCGGGUCGCUGUGUCGGCCGCGAUAAUCUAAAACGAGCCGCCGCGUUAGCGAACACUACCCCCCCAACAACUUUUUGACAGUUAUGUCAAAUCCCGGGCCGAUUUCUCUUUCCAGUCCAGCC